UACGUAGGGCGCAAGCGUUGUCCGGAAUUAUUGGGCGUAAAGAGCUCGUAGGCGGUCUGUCGCGUCGGAUGUGAAAGCCCGGGGCUUAACCCCGGGUCUGCAUUCGAUACGGGCAGACUAGAGUGUGGUAGGGGAGAUCGGAAUUCCUGGUGUAGCGGUGAAAUGCGCAGAUAUCAGGAGGAACACCAAUGGCGAAGGCAGGUCUCUGGGCCGAAACUGACGCUGAGGAGCGAAAGCGUGGGGAGCAAACAGG
rnacentral:rRNA from 1 species